GUUUUGCGGCGUGGGCGGGGCGCAGGCUGGCGAGCGCCUGGCCGGUUGAUGAAGAGAUCGCUGCGUCCGGUUUCGAAUCCCGGGCAAAGGC
rnacentral:tRNA from 1 species